rnacentral:rRNA from 1 species
CAAGUCGAGGGGCAGCAGGUCUGUAGCAAUACAGACGCUGGCGACCGGCAAACGGGUGCGGAACACGUACACAACCUUCCUUUAAGUGGGGAAUAGCCCGGGGAAACCCGGAUUAAUACCCCGUAAUAUAAUGAAGUGGCAUCGCUUUAUUAUUAUAGCUCCGGCGCUUGAAGAUGGGUGUGCGACUGAUUAGGCAGUUGGCGGGGUAACGGCCCACCAAACCUACGAUCAGUAACUGGUGUGAGAGCACGACCAGUCACACGGGCACUGAGACACGGGCCCGACUCCUACGGGAGGCAGCAGUAAGGAAUAUUGGUCAAUGGACGCAAGUCUGAACCAGCCAUGCCGCGUGGAGGAUGAAGGUCCUCUGGAUUGUAAACUUCUUUUAUUUGGGAAGAAAUCCACAAAUUCUUUUGUGGUUGACGGUACCAGAUGAAUAAGCACCGGCUAACUCCGUGCCAGCAGCCGCGGUAAUACGGAGGGUGCAAGCGUUAUCCGGAUUCACUGGGUUUAAAGGGUGCGUAGGUGGGUUGGUAAGUCAGUGGUGAAAUCUCCAGGCUUAACUUGGAAACUGCCAUUGACACUAUCAAUCUUGAAUACCGUGGAGAUCAGCGGAAUAUGUCAUGUAGCGGUGAAAUGCUUAGAUAUGACAUAGAACACCAAUUGCGAAGGCAGCUGGUUACACGAAUAUUGACACUGAUGCACGAAAGCGUGGGGAUCAAACAGGAUUAGAUACCCUGGUAGUCCACGCCCUAAACGAUGGAUACUCGACAUACGCGAUAUACUGUGUGUGUCUGAGCGAAAGCAUUAAGUAUCCCACCUGGAAGUAC